rnacentral:rRNA from 1 species
AGUCGAGCGGAUGAAGGGAGCUUGCUCCCUGAUUUAGCGGCGGACGGGUGAGUAAUGCCUAGGAAUCUGCCUGGUAGUGGGGGAUAACGUUCCGAAAGGAACGCUAAUACCGCAUACGUCCUACGGGAGAAAGCAGGGGACCUUCGGGCCUUGCGCUAUCAGAUGAGCCUAGGUCGGAUUACCUAGUUGGUGAGGUGAUGGCUCACCAAGGCGACGAUCCGUAACUGGUCUAAGAGGAUGAUCAGUCACACUGGAACUGAGACACGGUCCAGACUCCUACGGGAGGCAGCAGUGGGGAAUAUUGGACAAUGGGCGAAAGCCUGAUCCAGCCAUGCCGCGUGUGUGAAGAAGGUCUUCGGAUUGUAAAGCACUUUAAGUUGGGAGGAAGGGCAGUAAGCUAAUACCUUGCUGUUUUGACGUUACCGACAGAAUAAGCACCGGCUAACUUCGUGCCAGCAGCCGCGGUAAUACGAAGGGUGCAAGCGUUAAUCGGAAUUACUGGGCGUAAAGCGCGCGUAGGUGGUUCGUUAAGUUGGAUGUG